rfam:Actibacterium atlanticum strain 22II-S11-z10 contig2, whole genome shotgun sequence.
GGCCACCUUCGGGGGGCUAACAUAGGCGGGGAACCGCCCUGCGGGUCACCCCCGCAGUUGCUAAACGGAAGACAGAAA